rnacentral:lncRNA from 1 species
AGAGCAGUUGAGAAAAUUGUUUAUUGGUGGCCUGACUCUGAAACUACAGAUGAUACUUUAAGAGAACAUUUUGAGAAAUGGGGCACAUUCACAGGUUGUGUGGUAAUAAAAGACCCCCGAACAAAAUGUUCCAGGGGCUUUGGUUUUGUGACCUACUCUUGUGUUGAAGAGGUAGAUGCUUGACCACAUAGCAUUGAUGAGCAUGUAGAGGAACCAGAGAGCUGUUUCUAGGGAAGAUUCUGCAAAGCCUGCUGCCCAUCUAACAGCGAAGAAAAUAUUUGUUGGUGGUAUUAAAGAAGAUAUAGAGGAAUAGAAUUUGAGAGACCAUUUUAAAAGGUAUGGCAAGAUUACAACCACAGAAGUUAUGGAAGACAGGCAGAUUGGAAAAAAAGAGAGGAUUUGCUUUUGUAACUUUUGAUGAUCAUGCUACAGUUGAUAAAACUGUCAUUCAGAAACACCACAAUAUUAAUAGGCAUAACUUGGAAGUGAAAGAGACCCAUUCUAUACAAGAGAUGCAGUCUGCUGGAUUGCAGAGAGGUCGUGGAGGUGGAUCUGGCAAUUUUAUGGGUGGUAGAGGAAACUUUGGAGAUGGAGGAAGUAAUUUUGGCUGUGGUAGAAACUUUGGUGGAAGAAGAGGCUAUGGUGGUGAAGGUGGUGGCAGCAGAGGUAGUUAUGGAGGAGGUGAUGGUGGGUGUAAUGGAUUUGGAGGUGAUGGUGGCACCUAUGAUGGUGGUCCUGGUUCUAGUGGUAGAGGGGGCUAUGGUGGUGGUGGACCAGGAUAUAGAAACCAAGGGGGUAGAUAUGGUGGUGGGGGAUAUGGUGGUUACAAUGAAGGAGGAAACUUUGGUGGUGGUACCUGUGGUGGUGGUGGGAACAAUAAUGAUUCUGGAAAUUAUAGUGGGCGACAGCAAUCAAAUUUUGGAUCCAUGAAAGGGGGUAGUUUUGGUGGAAGAAGCUCAGACAGUCCCUAUGGUGGUGGUUGGGUCUGGUGGUGGAAGUGGUGGAUAUGGUAGCAGAAGUUUCUAA